CCUACGGGAGGCAGCAGUGAGGAAUAUUGGUCAAUGGCCGAGAGGCUGAACCAGCAAAGUCGCGUGAGGGAAGACGGCCCUACGGGUUGUAAACCUCUUUUGUCGGGGAGCAAAGAGAGUCACGUGUGACUCAUUGAGAGUACCCGAAGAAAAAGCAUCGGCAAACUCCGUGCCAGCAGCCGCGGUAAUACGGAGGAUGCGAGCGUUAUCCGGAUUUAUUGGGUUUAAAGGGUGCGCAGGCGGAGGUGCAAGUCAGCGGUCAAAUUGCGGGGCUCAACCCCGUACUGCCGUUGAAACUGCAGCCCUUGAGUGCGCGAGAAGUAUGCGGAAUGCGUGGUGUAGCGGUGAAAUGCGUAGAUAUCACGAAGAACACCGAUUGCGAAGGCAGCAUACCGGCGCGCAACUGACGGUCAUGCACGAAAGCGUGGGUAUCGAACAGGAUUAGAUACCCGAGUAGUC
rnacentral:rRNA from 1 species